rnacentral:rRNA from 1 species
CCUACGGGCGGCAGCAGUGGGGAAUAUUGCACACUGGGGGAAACCCUGAUGCAGCGACGCCGCGUGAGUGAAGAAGUAUUUCGGUACGUAAAGCUCUAUCAGCAGGGAAGAAAAUGACGGUACCUGACUAAGAAGCCCCGGCUAACUACGUGCCAGCAGCCGCGGUAAUACGUAGGGGGCAAGCGUUAUCCGGAUUUACUGGGUGUAAAGGGAGCGUAGACGGCAGCGCAAGUCUGGAGUGAAAUCCCAUGGCUUAACCAUGGAACUGCUUUGGAAACUGUGCAGCUAGAGUGCAGGAGAGGUAAGCGGAAUUCCUAGUGUAGCGGUGAAAUGCGUAGAUAUUAGGAGGAACACCAGUGGCGAAGGCGGCUUACUGGACUGUAACUGACGUUGAGGCUCGAAAGCGUGGGGAGCAAACAGGAUUAGAUACCCCUGUAGUC